rnacentral:rRNA from 1 species
UACGGGGGGGGCAAGCGUUGUUCGGAAUCACUGGGCGUAAAGGGCUCGUAGGCGGCCAACUAAGUCGGAUGUGAAAUCCCCAGGCUUAACCUGGGAACUGCAUCCGAUACUGGAUGGCUUGAGGCGAUGAGAGGGGUGUGGAAUUCCCGGUGUAGUGGUGGAAUGCGUAGAUAUCGGGGGGAACAUCAGUGGCGAAAGCGGCACCCUGGCAUUAGCCUGACGCUCAUGUGCGAAAGCGUGGGGAGCAAACAGG